rnacentral:tRNA from 3 species
GUCUUCGUAGCUCAGCAGGUUAGAGCAUUUGGCUGUUAACCAAAGGGUCGUUGGUUCGAAUCCAUCCGAGGACGCCA